rnacentral:ncRNA from 1 species
AGUCUUCAGGGCAGGGUGAAAUUCCCGAUCGGCGGUAAAGUCCGCGAGCGCGAAAGCGUAGGAUUUGGUGAAAUUCCAAAACCGACAGUAUAGUCUGGAUGGAAGAAGACG